UACGGAGGGUGCGAGCGUUGUCCGGAAUCACUGGGCGUAAAGGGCGUGUAGGUGGCCUGUGGAAGUCUGCGGUGAAAGCCCGGCGCUCAACGCCGGGUCGGCCGUGGAUACUCUCGGGCUCGAGCUUACUAGAGGCAGAUGGAAUUCCGGGUGUAGCGGUGGAAUGCGUAGAGAUCCGGAAGAACACCGGUGGCGAAGGCGGUCUGCUGGGGUAAUGCUGACACUGAUGCGCGACAGCGUGGGGAGCAAACAGG
rnacentral:rRNA from 1 species